UCCGUGGCUACAGAACGAACGCUGGCGGCAUGCCUAACACAUGCAAGUCGAACGAGACCUUCGGGUCUAGUGGCGCACGGGUGCGUAACGCGUGGGAAUCUGCCCUGGGGUGCGGAAUAACUCGGAGAAAUCCGUGCUAAUACCGCAUAAUGUCUUCGGACCAAAGAUUUAUCGCCCUGGGAUGAGCCCGCGUAGGAUUAGCUAGUUGGUGGGGUAAAGGCCUACCAAGGCGACGAUCCUUAGCUGGUCUGAGAGGAUGAUCAGCCACACUGGGACUGAGACACGGCCCAGACUCCUACGGGAGGCAGCAGUGGGAAUAUUGGACAAUGGGCGAAAGCCUGAUCCAGCAAUGCCGCGUGAGUGAUGAAGGCCCUAGGGUUGUAAAGCUCUUUACCCGGGAUGAUAAUGACAGUACCGGGAGAAUAAGCUCCGGCUAACUCCGUG
rnacentral:rRNA from 1 species